rfam:Bacteroides caecimuris strain I48, complete genome.
ACGUUUUUUUCAUAGAGAUUUAGAUUUAAGGUUAGAAGAAUUGUGGAAGUCGUGAGACUUCCCUUUUUUUCACCUUAACGUUUACUAUACUUCAUUAUAGGAAUGCAGAGACACUGUUUCUAGUGUUUUGGUUAAAAAAUUUGCAGGAGGAUGAUGCAGGAUAAGUAAACCUAAAAAGCCUUCUUCGUGAGAAGAGGCUUUUUU